GUGUCACAGGCUCAUGCCACCAACUGGACAUUAAUGCUCAAUCUAGCAUACUCAUUGAUUGUGGAUUAUUCCAAGGCGCGGAAAC
rnacentral:tRNA from 1 species